ACACUUACCCGGCAGGGGAGACGCCGGGAUCAAGCAGGUGGUUUUCCCAGGUGAGGCCCUUCCAUCAUACCAGGGACAUGCUGACCCCCGCGAUUUCCCCGAGUGUGGACAACUCCUGCAUUAUUUGUGGCAGUGGCAGUUGGGGGCUGCAUUCCCGCUUUCA